rnacentral:rRNA from 1 species
UACGGGGGGGGCAAGCGUUGUUCGGAAUUACUGGGCGUAAAGGGCUCGUAGGUGGCCAACUAAGUCAGACGUGAAAUCCCCAGGUUUAACCUGGGAACUGCGUCUGAUACUGGAUGGCUUGAAUUCGGGAGAGGGGGGUGGAAUUCCGCGUGUAGCAGUGAAAUGCGUAGAGAUGCGGAGGAACACCGAUGGCGAAGGCAGCCCCCUGGGCCAACACUGACGCUCAGGCACGAAAGCGUGGGGAGCAAACAGG